UUUGGCUGAACCUUGGACCUGAUUUGUCACCUCAACCUCUCUGGGACUGCUGAUGGACCCAUCUUUUUCAUCAGCCUAGUCCCAUUCUGUUACCUUGGGAUGUGCCAGUCGCUGGAUGCUACUCUGCUGCUGCCUUCCCCCUUGCUCAGGAACAGCCUUAUUCUUGCUGCUUUUCACUCUGAGGACCACCUCCAGGGCAACCAGGGAAGCUCCUGCAAUACAUGGAGAGGUUCAGCAGAGCACUGGACUCAAAGAAGGUGUUUAUUACGAUCCUGCCUGUCCUGGAGCACAGGUAAUAAAUUACAGAGCCUUUCCCUGACCAAAACCCAGCCUGGCUCCUCCUUGCUGCCUUCUCUCCUCAGCCCUUUGGGCUGCUGUCCUGGCACACAGCAGGGCUGGCACCAGGUCCUCUCUGCCAGGCGCCACAGAGAACUGCCUCGACGUGUUGGGGCACCGGUGAGAGAUAGAGAGGAGGAGCAGAACCAGCCAGAGGAUGGGCUUGGGGAGAAGAGAGAGCUCCUGUGAACCAAGAGCCAUGCCACGAGCCCUGGGAGCUGUGGUGCUGAGGUGGUUUCUUUUUGCUUCAUCACAAAGGCAGGAUUUGCAUGCUGUGUGGCUUGGGAAACCUGGCACCGCAGCCCAUUGACUGGUGUGAGCUCUUUGGUUUACCUAUAACAGCUACUGCUGUUGUGUUGAUGCUUCAGCACGCAAAACCCAUCCAUCCGCAUGUACAGCACGCAGCAUCGACAGGAGCAUCCCCAG
rnacentral:lncRNA from 14 species